rnacentral:rRNA from 1 species
UGCCAGCCGCCGCGGUAAUACGGAGGGUGCAAGCGUUAAUCGGAAUUACUGGGCGUAAAGCGCGCGUAGGCGGUUUGGUAAGUUGGAUGUGAAAGCCCAGGGCUCAACCUUGGAACUGCAUUCAAAACUGCCAGGCUAGAGUACGGGAGAGGGGGGUAGAAUUCCACGUGUAGCGGUGAAAUGCGUAGAGAUGUGGAGGAAUACCAGUGGCGAAGGCGGCCCCCUGGCUCGAUACUGACGCUGAGGCGCGAAGGCGUGGGUAGCGAACGGGAUUAGAUA